rnacentral:rRNA from 1 species
UGGGGAAUAUUGCACAAUGGGCGCAAGCCUGAUGCAGCAACGCCGCGUGAACGAUGAAGGUCUUCGGAUCGUAAAGUUCUGUUGCAGGGGAAGAUAAUGACGGUACCCUGUGAGGAAGCCCCGGCUAACUACGUGCCAGCAGCCGCGGUAAUACGUAGGGGGCUAGCGUUAACCGGAUUUACUGGGCGUAAAGGGUGCGUAGGUGGUCCUUCAAGUCGGUGGUUAAAGGCUACGGCUCAACCGUAGUAAGCCGCCGAAACUGGAGGACUUGAGUGCAGGAGAGGAAAGUGGAAUUCCCAGUGUAGCGGUGAAAUGCGUAGAUAUUGGGAGGAACACCAGUAGCGAAGGCGGCUUUCUGGACUGCAACUGACACUGAGGCACGAAAGCGUGGGUAGCAAACAGG